GAUGAAGAACGCAGCGAAAUGCGAUAAGUAGUGUGAAUUGCAGAAUUCCGUGAGUCAUCGAAUCUUUGAACGCACAUUGCGCCCACUGGUAUUCCGGUGGGCAUGCCUGUUCGAGCGUCAUUAUCCUCCCUCAAACCCCGGGUUUGGUGUUGGACCCAAGUUGUGUGAACAACUGGUCUCAAAGACAAUGACGGCGUCCGUGGGACCCUCGGUGCAACGAGCUUUUAGGAGCACGCAUCGAGUUGCAAGGACCUUCCGGGCCGGUCUCCUUUACCAUUUUACAAGGUUGACCUCGGAUCAGGUAGGAAUACCCGCUGAACUUAAGCAUAUCAAUAAGCGGAGGA
rnacentral:misc_RNA from 1 species